UACUAGAGUAGCACUCGCAUAUCAAUAAGCGGAGGAAAAGGCUGCGGAACUGAACGACCGCUACCUACGCUUAGGAUGUUGACACACGCGCGUGCUCGACUCUAUACAUGACUCUGUGCAUAUCAAAUAGCGGAGGAAAAGAAACUAACAAGGAUUCCCCUAGUAACGGCGAGUGAAGCGGGAAGAGCUCAAAUUUGAAAUCUUAAAGGGUUUCCCUUUACGAAUUGUAGUUUAAAGAAGUGUUUUCUGUUGAGGUUUUGGUAAAAGUUCUUUGGAAUAGGACAUCAUAGAGGGUGAGAAUCCCGUAUUUGACCUUUACUUUCAACUUUGUGAUACACUUUCAAAGAGUCGGAUUGUUUGGGAAUGCAGUCCAAAAUGGGUGGUAAAUUUCAUCUAAAGCUAAAUAUUGGCGAGAGACCGAUAGCGAACAAGUACCGUGAGGGAAAGAUGAAAAGAACUUUGAAAAGAGAGUUAAACAGUACGUGAAAUUGUCAAAAGGGAAGCGUUUGACACCAGUGUUGUUUUUCUGAAAAUCAAUUAAAGAACUGUUUAUGCUAAGUUGUUUAGACUUUAUCAGCUAACUGUUUAGUUUUGAGCUUUUCUUUAAUGCACUUUUCAGUUAACAAGUCAACAUCAAUUUCUUUUGCUGUAAAAAAGCUUGAGGAAGGUGGCUUGAGAUUCGUCUUAAGUGUUUAUAGCCUCUUGCCUAUGCAGUCGGAGAGAUUGAGGUCUGCAGCGUAGAUCCUUCGGGGCUAAAUGCAUUUGUGCUAAGUUAUAGCAUUUUAUAGACAACUUGUUGACUAUGAUUUGUCUUGUAGCUUACUCGCUUAUGUUAUUUUACCUACGCUUAGGAUGUUGAUCUCUCACAGUCGAGC
rnacentral:rRNA from 1 species